GAUCCUGUCAAAGCGGCGGUGAAAUGUCUCCUCCCUUUCAUAUCACAGCCACUUUGAUGUGGUCGG
rnacentral:pre_miRNA from 9 species